rnacentral:rRNA from 1 species
UACGAAGGGGGCUAGCGUUGUUCGGAAUCACUGGGCGUAAAGGGCGCGUAGGCGGCUUUAUAAGUCGGGGGUGAAAGCCUGUGGCUCAACCACAGAAUUGCCUUCGAUACUGUAGAGCUUGAGACCGGAAGAGGUAAGUGGAACUGCGAGUGUAGAGGUGAAAUUCGUAGAUAUUCGGAAGAACACCAGUGGCGAAGGCGGCUCACUGGACCGUUGUUGACGCUGAGGUGCGAAAGCGUGGGGAGCAAACAGG